GAUGAACGCUGGCGGCGUGCUUAAUACAUGCAAGUCGAGCGGAAAGGUCAGGAGCUUGCGCCGUUGUCGUGAGGGGAGGACGGGUGAAAUACGUGUGGAUAACCUACCUAUAAGACGGGGAUAACUUGGGGAAACCGGAGAUUAUCCCGGAUAACAUCUUGAACCGCAGGGUUCAAUAGAGAAAGGCGGCUGUGCUGUCACGUAUAGAUGGUUCCGGGCCGUAUUAGCUUGUUGGUAAGGUAACGGCUUACGAAGGCAACGAUUCGUAGCCGACCUCAUAGGCUGGUCGGCCGCCCUGGAACGGAGACACGGUCCAGAGUCCUGCGGGACGCAGCAGUAGGGUACCGUCCGCAAUGGGCGGAAGCCUGACGGAGCAACGCCGCGUGAGUGAUGACGGCGCUCGGAUCGGGAUGCUCUGUUUCCAGUUAAAAACCACUGUCUCAGUUACUGUGCACAGCUUGACGGUACCUGAUCAGAAAGCCACGGCUAACUACGUG
rnacentral:rRNA from 1 species